GGAGGAGGACGAGGAAGACGAGGAGAACAAGGUGGACGAGGGGGACGAGGAUUUGUGCUCGGUAUAUCCUGAGGUGGUUAUCGGUGGUUGUUGGAGGUGGUUGGCGGUCGUUGGAGGUGGCCGGAGGUGGACAAGGAGGACGAGGAAUUUUGCUCGUUCUGUGCCCCACCUAGUGAUCCGCUAGUACAUAUCCUCCGACGUGACAUCGCUCUGCU
rnacentral:lncRNA from 1 species